AACGAACGCUGGCGGCAUGCCUAACACAUGCAAGUCGAACGCCUCGCAAGAGGAGUGGCGGACGGGUGAGUAACGCGUGGGUACGUGCCCUGUGGUGCGGGACAACGUCUGGAAACGGACGCUAAUACCGCAUGUCCCCCGAGGGGGAAAGAUUCAUCGCCAUGGGAGCGGCCCGCGUCGGAUUAGGUAGUUGGUGGGGUGACGGCCCACCAAGCCUUCGAUCCGUAGCUGGUCUGAGAGGAUGGCCAGCCACACUGGGACUGAGACACGGCCCAGACUCCUACGGGAGGCAGCAGUGGGGAAUAUUGGACAAUGGGCGCAAGCCUGAUCCAGCAAUGCCGCGUGGGUGAAGAAGGUCUUCGGAUCGUAAAGCCCUUUCGACAGGGACGAUGAUGACGGUAGCGUGAGAAGAAGCCCCGGCUAACUUCGUGCCAGCAGCCGCGGUAAUACGAAGGGGGCUAGCGUUGUUCGGAAUUACUGGGCGUAAAGGGCGCGUAGGCGGUCCCUCAAGUCAGGCGUGAAAGCCCCGGGCUCAACCUGGGAACCGCGCUUGAGACUGAUGGGCUAGAGUUCGGGAGAGGAUGGUGGAAUUCCCAGUGUAGAGGUGAAAUUCGUAGAUAUUGGGAAGAACACCGAUGGCGAAGGCAGCCAUCUGGACCGACACUGACGCUGAGGCGCGAAAGCGUAGGGAGCAAACAGGAUUAGAUACCCUGGUAGUCCACGCCGUAAACGAUGAGUGCUAGACGUCGGGGCCCUCAGGGCUUCGGUGUCGCAGCUAACGCAUUAAGCACUCCGCCUGGGGGAGUACGGCCGCAAGGUUAAAACUCAAAGGAAUUGACGGGGACCCGCACAAGCGGUGGAUGAUGUGGAUUAAUUCGAUGCAACGCGAAAAACCUUACCUACCCUUGACAUGGCAGGAAUCCCGGAGAGAUUUGGGAGUGCUCGAAAGAGAACCUGCACACAGGUGCUGCAUGGCUGUCGUCAGCUCGUGUCGUGAGAUGUUGGGUUAAGUCCCGCAACGAGCGCAACCCUUGUCAUUAGUUGCUACGCAAGAGCACUCUAAUGAGACUGCCGGUGACAAACCGGAGGAAGGUGGGGAUGACGUCAAGUCCUCAUGGCCCUUAUGGGUAGGGCUUCACGCAUGCUACAAUGGCCGGUACAAAGGGCUGCGAUACCGCGAGGUGGAGCGAAUCCCAAAAAGCCGGUCUCAGUUCGGAUUGGGGUCUGCAACUCGACCCCAUGAAGUCGGAGUCGCUAGUAAUCGCAGAUCAGCAACGCUGCGGUGAAUACGUUCCCGGGCCUUGUACACACCGCCCGUCAAGUCAUGAAAGUCGGUAACACCCGAAGCCGGUGGCCCAACCUUUUGGGGGGAGCCGUCGAAGGUGGGACUGGCGAUUAGGACU
rnacentral:rRNA from 1 species